rnacentral:rRNA from 1 species
AGAACGAACGUUGGCGGCGUGGAUGAGGCAUGCAAGUCGAGCGUGAAACCCCGCAAGGGGGAGUAAAGCGGCGAAAGGGUGAGUAAUACGUAAUCAACCUACCCUCGAGACUGGGAUAACCAUGGGAAACUGUGGCUAAUACCGGAUAAACUACUCGGAUCGCAUGAUCUGAUUAGUAAAUGAUAGGGAUCCUUCGGGUACCUUUUGCUCGUGGAGGGGAUUGCGGCCCAUCAGCUAGUUGGCGGGUAACGCCCACCAGGCGAUGACGGUGCAGGCCUGAGAGGGUGUCUCGCCACAGUUGGGACUGACGACACUCGCCCAGACCUCCGUACGGGA